AAUUUGUACAUAUCAGAGUUCAAAGUUUUAUGUCUUGUCACUCAUGCUAUACUGAUGUGUUCAGUCUUGAGCUCUCACAAAUUUGACUCCUCUCCUGCUGUACCUUCAGUCUACUACAAAGUAGGAGUCUUCCAUACCUGCAUUAGAGAACUACUCUUGAGGCAAUACCAGACUGGGAGUAGUUGGUGCACUGGAGGACAGGGCUCCUGUUUGGUACAAAAACUGGUGGACAGCAAUGUCAGGGAGUCUAACAAAGUACAGUCUUGCAGCUAGAAUGGAAGAACUCCAUGCAAUGGUGCAGGUGGUGUGCUGCCAAGGCAGAAAACAGAUUACCAGAAGAAAAGAUAUCUAUAUAUAUCUAUAUAUAGAUAUAUGUAUAUUUAUAAAUGCAUAUAUAUACACACACAUAUGUA